AACGAACGCUGGCGGCAGGCUUAACACAUGCAAGUCGAGCGCCCCGCAAGGGGAGCGGCAGACGGGUGAGUAACGCGUGGGAAUCUACCCAUCACUACGGAACAACUCCGGGAAACUGGAGCUAAUACCGUAUACGUCCUUCGGGAGAAAGAUUUAUCGGUGAUGGAUGAGCCCGCGUUGGAUUAGCUAGUUGGUGGGGUAAUGGCCUACCAAGGCGACGAUCCAUAGCUGGUCUGAGAGGAUGAUCAGCCACUCUGGGACUGAGACACGGCCCAGACUCCUACGGGAGGCAGCAGUGGGGAAUAUUGGACAAUGGGCGAAAGCCUGCUCCAGCCAUGCCGCGUGAGUGAUGAAGGCCCUAGAGUUGUAAAGCUCUUUCGCAGGUGAAGACAAUGACGGUAACCUGAGAAGAAGCCCCGGCUAACUUCGUGCCAGCCGCCGCCGUAACAC
rnacentral:rRNA from 1 species